AGUGAACGCUGGCGGUAGGCCUAACACAUGCGAGUCGAACGGCAGCACAGUAAGAGCUUGCUCUUACGGGUGGCGAGUGGCGGACGGGUGAGGAAUACAUCGGAAUCUACUUUUUCGUGGGGGAUAACGUAGGGAAACUUACGCUAAUACCGCAUACGACCUACGGGUGAAAGCAGGGGAUCUUCGGACCUUGCGCGAUUGAAUGAGCCGAUGUCGGAUUAGCUAGUUGGCGGGGUAAAGGCCCACCAAGGCGACGAUCCGUAGCUGGUCUGAGAGGAUGGUCAGCCACACUGGAACUUAGACACGGUCCAGACUCCUACGGGAGGCAGCAGUGGGGAAUAUUGGACAAUGGGCGCAAGCCUGAUCCAGCCAUACCGCGUGGGUGAAGAAGGCCUUCGGGUUGUAAAGCCCUUUUGUUGGGAAAGAAAAGCAGCAGGUUAAUACCCCGCUGUUCUGACGGUACCCAAAGAAUAAGCACCGGCUAACUUCGUG
rnacentral:rRNA from 1 species